GACGAACGCUGGCGGCGUGCUUAACACAUGCAAGUCGAACGGAAAGGCCCUGCUUUUGUGGGGUGCUCGAGUGGCGAACGGGUGAGUAACACGUGAGUAACCUGCCCUUGACUUUGGGAUAACUUCAGGAAACUGGGGCUAAUACCGGAUAGGAGCUCCUGCUGCAUGGUGGGGGUUGGAAAGUUUCGGCGGUUGGGGAUGGACUCGCGGCUUAUCAGCUUGUUGGUGGGGUAGUGGCUUACCAAGGCUUUGACGGGUAGCCGGCCUGCGAGGGUGACCGGCCACACUGGGACUGCGAUACGGCCCAGACUCCUACGGGAGGCAGCAGUGGGGAAUAUUGCACAAUGGGCGGAAGCCUGAUGCAGCAACGCCGCGUGCGGGAUGACGGCCUUCGGGUUGUAAACCGCUUUCGCCUGUGACGAAGCGUGAGUGACGGUAAUGGGUAAAGAAGCACCGGCUAACUACGUG
rnacentral:rRNA from 1 species